AUUGAACGCUGGCGGCAUGCCUUACACAUGCAAGUCGAACGGUAACAGGUCUUCGGAUGCUGACGAGUGGCGAACGGGUGAGUAAUACAUCGGAACGUGCCUAGUAGUGGGGGAUAACUACUCGAAAGAGUGGCUAAUACCGCAUGAGAUCUACGGAUGAAAGCAGGGGAUCGCAAGACCUUGUGCUACUAGAGCGGCCGAUGGCAGAUUAGGUAGUUGGUGGGAUAAAAGCUUACCAAGCCGACGAACUGUAGCUGGUCUGAGAGGACGAUCAGCCACACUGGGACUAGAACACGGCCCAGACUCCUCCGGGAGGCAGCAGUGGGGAAUUUUGGACAAUGGGCGAAAGCCUGAUCCAGCAAUGCCGCGUGCAGGAUGAAGGCCUUCGGGUUGUAAACUGCUUUUGUACGGAACGAAAAGCCCCGGGUUAAUACCCUGGGGUCAUGACGGUACCGUAGAAUAAGCACCGGCUAACUACGUGCCAGCCGCCGCAGUAA
rnacentral:rRNA from 1 species